GAUUCGCACUAGGGGCGUUUUUAUAAACUGAGAUGAGGGUAACCUCAGACCCUUUGAACCUGAUCUAGUUAAAACUGGCGUAGGAAAGUGUUACAUCGAUACA
rnacentral:ncRNA from 1 species